GGAUGAACGUUGGCGGUGUGCCUAAUACAUGCAAGUCGAACGGUGGUUAUUUUGUAGUAAUACGAAGUGAUCAUAGUGGCGAACGGGUGAGUAACGCGUUGGUGAUCUGCCUCGAAGUGUGGAAUAACGUUCCGAAAGGAACGCUAAUACCGCAUGUGCUCUCGAUUUUUAGAAAGUUGAGAGUAAAGGAUUUAUUCGCUUCGAGAGGAGCCUGCGUCCCAUCAGCUAGUUGGUAGGGUAAUAGCCUACCAAGGCUUUGACGGGUAGGGGACCUGAGAGGGUGGCCCCCCACAAUGGAACUGAAACACGGUCCAUACACCUACGGGUGGCAGCAGUAGGGAAUAUUAGAAAUGGACGAAAGUCUGAUCUAGCGACACCGCGUGUGCGAUGAAGGCCUUCGGGUUGUAAAGCACUUUUUGGAAGGAAUAGGAAGGAAGGUACUUCCAGAAUAAGUCUCGGCUAACUACGUGCCAGCAGCCGCGGUAACACGUAGGAGGCAAACGUUAUCCGGAUUUACUGGGCGUAAAGCGCGUGUAGGUGGUUCUGUAAGUAGGGCGUGAAAGCUCCCGGCUCAACUGGGAGAGGCCGUUCUAAACUGCAGAGCUAGAGGAUGGUAGAGGGAGGUGGAAUUCCAGGUGUAGCGGUGGAAUGCGCAGAUAUCUGGAGGAACACCAGUGGCGAAAGCGGCCUCCUGGACCAUUCCUGACACUCAGACGCGAAAGCUAGGGUAGCAAACGGGAUUAGAGACCCCGGUAGUCCUAGCCCUAAACGAUGUAGACUAGACGUCGGCGGUGUAAUAGCUGUCGGUGUCCAAGCUAACGCGAUAAGUCUACCGCCUGGGGACUACGGCCGCAAGGUUA
rnacentral:rRNA from 1 species